CAGUCGCCGCGGGAAUACGUAGGUGGCAAGCGUUGUCCGGAAUUAUUGGGCGUAAAGGGCUCGCAGGCGGUUUCUUAAGUCUGAUGUGAAAGCCCCCGGCUCAACCGGGGAGGGUCAUUGGAAACUGGGAAACUUGAGUGCAGAAGAGGAGAGUGGAAUUCCACGUGUAGCGGUGAAAUGCGUAGAGAUGUGGAGGAACACCAGUGGCGAAGGCGACUCUCUGGUCUGUAACUGACGCUGAGGAGCGAAUGCGUGGGGAGCGAACAGGAUUAGAUACCCCUGUAGUCCCUGUCUCUUAUAC
rnacentral:rRNA from 1 species